GACCCGCACAAGCGGUGGAGCAUGUGGUUUAAUUCGAAGCAACGCGAAGAACCUUACCUGAUCUUGACAUCCCGGUGACCGGAACUUAAUCGUUCCUUCUCUUCGGAGCACUGGAGACAGGUGGUGCAUGGUUGUCGUCAGCUCGUGUCGUGAGAUGUUGGGUUAAGUCCCGCAACGAGCGCAACCCUUAUCUUUAGUAGCCAGCACGUAAGGUGGGCACUCUAGAGAGACUGCCAGGGACAACCUGGAGGAAGGUGGGGAUGACGUCAAAUCAUCAUGCCCCUUAUGACCAGGGCUACACACGUGCUACAAUGGCGUAAACAAAGGGAAGCGAACAUGUGAAUGUGAGCAAAUCCCAAAAAUAACGUCUCAGUUCGGAUUGUAGUCUGCAACUCGACUACAUGAAGCUGGAAUCGCUAGUAAUCGCGAAUCAGAAUGUCGCGGUGAAUACGUUCCCGGGUCUUGUACACACCGCCCGUCACACCAUGGGAGUCAGUAACGCCCGAAGCCGGUGACCCAACCAAAUGGAGGGAGCCGUCGAAGGUGGGACCGAUAACUGGGGUGAAGUCGUAACAAGGUAACCGU
rnacentral:rRNA from 1 species